rnacentral:lncRNA from 1 species
CCGAUUACAUCAUUUGUUGUUCAUAAGUAUAAUACAUACAAUCAUACUAAUCUAUUACAAGACAUUUAACUAUCCAUCUUAGCCUUGCCUUUAUCUCUCUUAGAAUUCCCAGUACGUUCGGCUUUAGCUGCAAUCAUAUAAUUAACGCAAGAAGUGAGCAUAACUAGCUCAGCAAGUCUAACAAAGAAUACUAUCAAUACCACAUUCGUGAAUUAUAUAAUUAUCUUACACAACUGAACAAAUAGUCAUGAAGUACUACGAAACAUUAACUAGUACUUAUCAAUUCAUAACAUCAAUCCCAAAGUAUAUAAUAGCUUAGGAAUUCUGAACCGGUCGUAAGACCAUUACCAUUCUUUUUUACGUUUUCAUACAUAAAAGGACAUCACAGUACAAAAGUUGUACAUUCGACAUUUCUUACUAGCACUUCUAGGUGAUCAGCCUAUAGUACUCUAGGUUGAUCAACAUUCAUCCGUUAAACAUAUUUACAUUUACGAUUUGGCAAACUCACGUGCCUAUCGAAUAAAUGAUGAAAAAUACUUUUGUUUGUUCAUGGACAAACUUACCUUUGAAUCCGUACCAAAUAUUUGGCAUAGGACAACAUUAUCAUUUCUAUAUAAAAAGACAUGUUCACAAAUUAAUUUAACUCUUAAGAAUAGUCUAACCAAGUUAAAAUUGGCAUUGACCCUUUCCUUAAAAUCAUUCAUGCAACUCAUUAAAUGAAUCACAGAAAACUCGGCUAACACGAAGGUUAGACAAGCGUUAAGAAAACAUGCCUUCAAGCAUCUUUGAAUAAAAUAUUCAACAGUUCUCAGUCUUUAUAGUAUCUACAUGAUAUAAUCACAUAGCACACUAUAAUUAGUUACAAAACAAUCUUAUCACAUUGCUAUUACC